rnacentral:lncRNA from 1 species
CUACAAGUGAGCAGCUAUCAAAAGUGACCAACAUGGAACUUGAGUAUGGCCACACUGAUGCUACAAACCCAUAUGUUUUCUACUUACACAUUACUUACUGAUUCUUUCAUCUGUUCUCAUCCACAGAAAGUGAGAGUUUCUCAUGCACAGAAUGUGCAUUAGUGGUGAUGGAAUUUCUUCUAGGAGACAGAGAAACCCACAGUAAUGGAUUAAAAGUCUAUCCUCAGAGCAGCUGCAGAAGAUCUGUUUGAAACUCAAGAUGUGCCAUUCUUCUGCUCAAAAUAUUGCAACAACUCUGCAUUUCAGUCUCUUCUGCAUACACCCCUAAAGCUCUUGGUUGAUUUCUUACUCUCUUCUACUUUCCUGACUCAGUUCCAGCCACACUUUCCACCUUGCAGUUCCUUGAACAUAACACAUACCUUUCCAUCUCAAGGCUCUUGUUUUUGUUCUCAUCAGCUUAAAAAAUAUUUCUCCCAGAUACAUCUACUCAUCUAACACUUCAUCACUUUCUUCAAGUUUCUGCUCAACUAUCAACUUCACAAUGAGAACUUCCUGGACCAUUUAUUUAAUUUACUCUCUACUCAGAAUUCAAACAGACUUCUUACCUUGCUUUUGUCUUUUUAAAUAGCACUUACAAUCUUUUCAAACCUAUAAAAUUUUCCUACUUAUUGUGUUCAUUGUUGAUUGUCUAUAUCUUACAUGGUCAGUUCCAUUAGCUCAAGAGUCUUCGAUAUAUUCACUGUGUACUUAAAAAAAAUGGUGCCGGAUACAAUGAAGCUGCUUAAUAUAAAUUAGUUGAAUAAUUGAAGUUGAUGAUCUCCUACUCCUAAACACUCUAUCCAUUCUUUCUUUCAGUGUAUCUGUUUGUCUCUUUCUCUAUCAUGUAUCCAUACACUUAUACAUAUAAUACCUCUAAAAAUAACUCAUCCAUUCAAUAUUUCAGAACCUGACCAAAAAGAUAUGCAGCUAGAAGUAGCAGAUGACCCUUGUUAUGGCUUGGUUAUGUCCUCCAAGGUAUGUUCCCCAGGGUAGUACCCUCAGGAAGGUGGUAGAAGCUUUAGGAGAUCCUUAGAUCACUGGGUUAUGCCCUUGAAGGGACUGAUGAGACCAUAACCUCUUCUUUCUGUUUGCUUCCU